rnacentral:rRNA from 1 species
UACGUAGGGUGCAAGCGUUGUCCGGAAUUAUUGGGCGUAAAGAGCUCGUAGGCGGUUCGGUAAGUCGGAUGUGAAAUCUCCACGCUCAACGUGGAGGGGCCAUUCGAUACUGCCGUGACUCGAGUCCGGUAGGGGAGUGUGGAAUUCCCGGUGUAGCGGUGAAAUGCGCAGAGAUCGGGAGGAACACCCGUAGCGAAGGCGGCACUCUGGGCCGGUACUGACGCUGAGGAGCGAAAGCGUGGGGAGCGAACAGG